CAGGUCUUGACAUCCUUUGACCACUCUAGAGAUAGAGCUUCCCCUUCGGGGGCAAAGUGACAGGUGGUGCAUGGUUGUCGUCAGCUCGUGUCGUGAGAUGUUGGGUUAAGUCCCGCAACGAGCGCAACCCUUAUUGUUAGUUGCCAUCAUUCAGUUGGGCACUCUAGCAAGACUGCCGGUGACAAACCGGAGGAAGGUGGGGAUGACGUCAAAUCAUCAUGCCCCUUAUGACCUGGGCUACACACGUGCUACAAUGGACAGAACAAAGGGUAGCGAAACCGCGAGGUUAAGCCAAUCCCACAAAUCUGUUCUCAGUUCGGAUCGCAGUCUGCAACUCGACUGCGUGAAGCUGGAAUCGCUAGUAAUCGCGGAUCAGCAUGCCGCGGUGAAUACGUUCCC
rnacentral:rRNA from 1 species